rnacentral:rRNA from 1 species
UACAGAGGUCUCAAGCGUUGUUCGGAUUCAUUGGGCGUAAAGGGCGCGUAGGCGGCCACCGCAAGUCGGUUGUGAAAUCUCUGGGCUUAACCCAGAAAGGUCAACCGAUACGUGCGGGGCUAGAGUGGCAGAAGGGGCAACUGGAAUUCUCGGUGUAGCGGAUGAAAUGCGUAGAUAUCGAGAGGAACACCUGCGGCAAAGGCGGGUUGCUGGGCUGACACUGACGCUGAUGCGCGAAAGCCAGGGGAGCGAACGGGG